AUGGGAGUCAAUGGGAGUCAAUGGGAGUCUAUGGGAGUCAAUGGGAGUCUAUGGGAGUCUAUGGGGGUAUAUGGGGUUAUAUGGGGUGUAAUGGGGGGUAAUGGGGUUAUAUAUGGGAUUUAAUGGGGUUAUAUGGGGUUAUAUGGGGUUAUAUGGGGUUAUAUGGGGUUAUAUGGGGGAUAUGUGGGGUUAUAUGGGGUUAUAUGGGGUUAUAUGGGGUUAUAUGGGGGGAUAUGGGGGUAUAUGGGGGUAUAUGGGGUUAUAUGGGAUUUAAUGGGGUUAUAUGGGAUUUAAUGGGGUUAUAUGGGGGAUAAUGGGGGGUAUAUGGGGUUAUAUGGGAGUUAAUGGGGUUAUAUGGGGGGUAAUGGGGUUAUCUGCGGUAUCAGCAAUGGGACUGUGCGCAGGCUCUGUGCAGUUCCGUGUGUGGGGUCGUUGCCACUCGCGCCGUGUUUGAGGCCGUCGGGGUCGGGGACGGAGCAGCCACAUGCCACCGGAGCCACCUUCACAUGGUUACUUGCGAGGUCACAGCCCCAAAUCCUUCUUUUUCACCCCAAAAUGACCCAAAAUGGCCCUUUUUCACCCCAAAAUGGCCCCAAAUGGCCCUUUUUAACCCCAAAAUCCCCCUUUUUCACCCCAAAAAUGCCAUUUUUAACACCAAAAUGCCCUAAAAUGGCCCUUUUUCACCCCAAAAUGGUCCAAAAGGGCCCUUUUUCACCCCAAAAAUGCCAUUUUUCACCCCCAAAUGCCCCCAAAUGGGCUCUUUUCACCCCAAAAUGGCCUUUUUUCUCCCCAAAUUGCCCCAAAAUCACCUUUUUUCACCCCAAAAUGGCCAUUUUUCAUCCCCAAAUUCCCCCAAAUAGCCCAUUUUCACCCCAAAAUUGCCAUUUUUAACCCAAAAAUGACCCAAAAUAGCCCAUUUUCACCCCAAAAAUGCCAUUUUUAUCACCAAAAUGACCCAAAAUAGCCCCUUUUCACCCCAAAAACACCUUUUUUAACACCAAUAUGCCCUAAAAUAGCCCUUUUUCACCCCAAAAUGGUCCAAAAUAGCCCCUUUUCACACCAAAACCGCCGUUUUUAAUGCCAAAAUGACCCAAAUUUUCACCCUUUUCACCCCAAAAAUGCCAUUUUAACACCAAAAUGCCCUAAAAUGGCCCUUUUCACCCAAAAUCCCCCUUUUCCACCCCAAAAUGCCCCUUUUUCACCCCAAAAUGGCCCUUUUUCACCCCAAAAUGCCCCAAAAUGGCCCUUUUUCACCUCAAAAAUGCCGUUUUUAGUGCCAAAAUGCCCCAAAAUGGCCCUUUUUCACCCCCAAAAAUGCCAUUUUUAACACCAAAAUGCCCUAAAAUGGCCCUUUUUCACCCCAAAAUCCCCCUUUUUCACCCCAAAAUGCCCCAAAAUGGCCCUUUUUCACCCCAAAAUGCCCCAAAAUGGCCCUUUUCACCCCAAAAUGGCCCUUUUUCACCCCCAAAAUGCCAUUUUUAACACCAAAUUGCCCUAAAAUUGCCCUUUUUCACCCCAAAAUGCCCCAAAAUGGCCCUUUUUCACCCCAAAAUGGCCCUUUUUCACCCCAAAAUGACCCAAAAUGGCCCUUUUUCACCCCAAAAUCCCCCUUUUUCACCCCAAAAUCCCCCUUUUUCACCCCAAAAUGGCCCUUUUUCACCCCAAAAAUGCCAUUUUUAACACCAAAAUGCCCUAAAAUGGCCCUUUUUCACCCCAAAAUCCCCCUUUUUC
rnacentral:lncRNA from 1 species